GCAAAUGUGAAAUCAUGAGAGCGCCGUAACUGUUUCUUGCUAGCUGCAGUCUCCUCCUGAACAGAGGUGGCGCUAAUGAGCAAAGGCUACCGGCUUUGCUAUUUCUACGGACUAGAAGAAGAAAAAGAAAAAAGGUACACAA